AUCUCUCGAGACCCAGUCAGUCGGAUCUC
rnacentral:rRNA from 1 species